rnacentral:rRNA from 1 species
CCCUUAGACGUUCUGGGCCGCACGCGCGCUACACUGACGAAGGCAACGAGCUUUCCUUUACCGAAAGGUACGGGUAAUCUUUUGAAACUUCGUCGUGCUGGGGAUAGAUCCUUGCAAUUUUUGAUCUUAAACGAGGAAUUCCUAGUAAGCGCAAGUCAUCAACUUGCGUUGAUUACGUCCCUGCCCUUUGUACACACCGCCCGUCGCUACUACCGAUUGAAUGGUUUAGUGAGGCCUUCGGAUCCGCGACUCGUUUUGUGGAGAAGUUGGACAAACUCAGUCAUUUAGAGGAAGUAAAAGGCGUAACA